CCUACGGGAGGCUGCAGUGGGGAAUAUUGGACAAUGGGCGAAAGCCUGAUCCAGCAACGCCGCGUGAGGGAUGACGGCCUUCGGGUUGUAAACCUCUUUCAGCAGGGACGCGGUACCUGCAGAAGAAGCACCGGCCAACUACGUGCCAGCAGCCGCGGUAAUACGUAGGGUGCAAGCGUUGUCCGGAAUUAUUGGGCGUAAAGGGCUCGUAGGCGGUCCAUCACGUCGGGAGUGAAAAGCUGGGGCUUAACCCCAGUCCUGCUUCCGAUACGGGUGGACUAGAGGUAGGCAGGGGAGAACGGAAUUCCUGGUGUAGCGGUGAAAUGCGCAGAUAUCAGGAGGAACACCGGUGGCGAAGGCGGUUCUCUGGGCCUUCCUGACGCUGAGGAGCGAAAGCAUGGGGAGCAAACAGGAUUAGAUACCCUUGUAGUC
rnacentral:rRNA from 1 species